AUUGAACGCUGGCGGCAUGCCUUACACAUGCAAGUCGAACGGCAGCACGGGAGCAAUCCUGGUGGCGAGUGGCGAACGGGUGAGUAAUGUAUCGGAACGUGCCCAGUCGUGGGGGAUAACGCAGCGAAAGCUGUGCUAAUACCGCAUACGAUCUAUGGAUGAAAGCGGGGGAUCGCAAGACCUCGCGCGAUUGGAGUGGCCGAUAUCAGAUUAGCUAGUUGGUGGGGUAAAGGCUCACCAAGGCGACGAUCUGUAGCUGGUCUGAGAGGACGACCAGCCACACUGGAACUGAGACACGGUCCAGACUCCUACGGGAGGCAGCAGUGGGGAAUUUUGGACAAUGGGCGCAAGCCUGAUCCAGCAAUGCCGCGUGCAGGAUGAAGGCCUUCGGGUUGUAAACUGCUUUUGUACGGAGCGAAAAGGCUCUCUCUAAUACAGGGGGCUCAUGACGGUACCGUAAGAAUAAGCACCGGCUAACUACGUGCCAGCAGCCGCAGUAACAC
rnacentral:rRNA from 1 species